UUCAUUUGUCUCUCACCAACCCUAGAGACACCCAUGUAUUCCACCGCCUUACUCUACCACUGAAAAUCAUGGCUGUUCCGGUGGCCCAAUACCUUCCCAAAUUACACCAUAGAACCCCCUCACUCCUCUCUUUCCAAAUCCCUGAUCCGUUUCCUUCAAAUAUCCAUUUGAAUCCACAAACCCUAGCGUCGCCAUAGUUUCUUAUGUGGCGGAGCCACCUCCCCUCAACCCCAAACUAACACCCCAUGACCUCCUUUGUCCCCACACCGCAAAACUCCAGUCCAUUGCCUUCAAAUCGUAGUCAAACUCAUCCAAUUUCAGAUCGAAAAAGUAGGACACAUGCCCUAAAAAUCGAACAGGAAAGUUUACUGAUUGUUUGAGAUCGAGAUUGACUUUAUUCGUGUGUUUUCAUUUGAAAACACAUGAUUAUGGUCUAUUUCGGUCUAAAUCAAAGGAAAGAAGAGUAAUUUCAGAAUUUUAUCUGCCUGCCCCGUAGGUAUUUUCAAUUCCUUUUCCUUUCUUUCAUCUUUUGGUUACGUUUAAAUCUUCAUCUCCUCUUACUUCGUCUUUUCUAUUUUGUUUUUCUUUUAAAAUAAUUAUGUUCGUAUGUUUAAAAUUAAAGUUUGUUCAUCCAUGUCGUUUAAUUUCUUUGUUCUAUGUGUAAUUUUAUUUUUGUUUCUGAUGUUCAAAGAGUGGAACUAUGAUUCCCUCUUGGAAAACUCCGUCAAAGCCCAGUAAUUCUAUAUGGGCUCUGUUAAUCAGAAGCCUAAGGAAAUGGACUCAAUACAGGUGUUAAGCCCAUUGUCUCGAGGUUGAACUUGGGUUCAAUUUCACCCGUAUCCGUUUGGUAUGCUAGGGUAAUUAAUAGAAUAUUAAGUAGUUAAUAGAGGUUUCAGGGGGUGGUUUGGGAAUUUGAAUCUUUAGUAACUAGCUUAGCAGGUUGCUAACAAAGAUGGUGGCACACUAACUGAAUUUUUAAUAAUAGCGCUAGGUUAGUGUAGCACUAAUUCAGCUAGUGAUGAAUUAAAAAAAUAAAAAGAUGAAUUGAUAAUGGGAAGGUCACUAAUUGAAUGACUAUUUAAAGGCCGAAAUAACGAACAAAUAGGAAGAGGAGAAAAGAAUCUGAGAGAAACACACAUUUUUUAGAGUAAGAGAUUAGACAUUUUGAAAAUAGAGAGAGAUACACUAAGAACAGUCAAAGAUUUUGAAAAUACUUAGAGCAAUAGGGAUCAAGUCUUAAGCAAUCUCAAGUUGAAAAACAUUCUGCAAAAGCUUGAGAGAUAGACAUUCAGAUACGCAAUAAGAGAGAGCUUGAUAUGUAGACAGAGAUUAAGACAGAGCUGGGUUAGCUUUUCUAUUAUUUGGUGGAUGGGAGUUAAUCUCAUUCUGAUUAGCUGUUGUGGUUGAUUUUACUGUUACAUUGCUGAUCUACUGGACUGUGUCUGCUGUUGACUCUUUACUGAUUUCCCAUUUUGAUUCCUUCUUGAUUUCGAGGUACACUUCUUUGAACUCUGUACAAUGUAAUGUCAAUUUGAAGCAUGAAUGGACAAGUUAAAGUGACCUCAUUUUACAAAAUGUUGGCACAGUUAGUUGUUUUACUAAUUUAAUUUGUAACGUAAACUAAAUAUUGUUUCUAUAAUGAACAACUGAAAUCUCGGAGUAGUGUUUAGUUUAGGGACUUUUUUAAAAAUGUUUUUUUUGUCAAGUAGUCAAUCAUAAUAGUACGCCAUAGCUCUGUUUUGCUGUUUCUUCGAGUCAUCAUUUAUGUUUGAAAAGGAUUGCAUGUUUGGUUGUUGUUAAAGAGGUUUGAAAAGGGUGAUGUUUAGUGUUUGUUGAUUCUAUUAGAUUAUAUAUGAGGUAGCUGGGUUGUUGUAUGGCUUGUGUUGGGUUUUGAAGGUCAAUUGUUAAUAGUUUGGGUAGAUUGAAUACCGAAAAGAAUGAGUUAGUGUUAAUUUGCCAUUUGUUUGAUCCACCGCCUACACAAUAUUUUUGUAAGAUUUAAGUGGUGGAUUGUCUCGUGAGCACAUGUAAUUGCCCCUCUGUUUUGGUCUUCAAAAGUGCUUGUGAAUUGUUUUAGGCGAAUCAUAUUAGACAUAGCAAAAAUUGAUUAUGGCACUACUAUAUUAACAUAGAAACCGUAGAAACCGUUAAGUAGAGUAUUUUGAGGUGUGC
rnacentral:lncRNA from 1 species